AGCGCAACUGGAAAACUGCCAGGCCAGAACCCUCCACAGUCCAGGGAAUUUUUCUCUUACUAUGCUGUCACUAGGUGCAAAGCUGCAUGCUUCACAUGCAACACAGGAAAACUGAGUUUUCAAGAAGGUUAAUCUGGACGCUCAACAAAGAAAACAGUGACAGCAGAGAAGAGCUAACAUGAAAAGGAGAUGGAGGCUCAGAUCAGUGCGUAAAGUGCCAAGCGACACUAAAUGUAUGGACAGACCUGAUAAACAUGAGAUUGAAGACGGAAGGGAAUACAAGAUUUACCUAGCCUAAGUGCCAAGCCCCUGACAAAAAAUCCAGUCCUAUUAAAAACAAUAGCCUUGGCAAUCCCAGUUGAUUGCUAAAAUGGACAGCUUCCUGGUACUUUUCCUGAUACCAUGCUGGCAGUUGCUGGGGCCUCACUGUUAACAUGUAGGAGGAGUAUUUUGAUCACCAUGUACUGAUGUGGUAACGCACGGCUCCGUAACUCUGCGUUGAGCACCAGCUUCUCCCCUGCAUCAGCUAGAGGCCAGGAGAACAGCCUGCACUCCCAAGGUCAGCCUGGGAGAAUGGAAACCAUCUCACAGCCUGGAGAAAGCAGCUUUGCUUUUAAGAGGUAUUGCAUUCAGAGCUUCUUUACCCUGUCAAUUGCCAGCCUAAAAUGACUAGGUAAUUAUUGUUGAAAGUCCAGCUUUCCCGCAAAUGCAGCCUAACCCAAUAGCUCAGGAAUGCACUGAGCACAAACGAAGGAAGAUGUUUUGCAAAAAUUGGUAUGUGCUUUGAUACACUGCUGCCUGGUGAGUACAGUGAGGCAUUGGGGGUACUUUAGUGUUUGAAAGCAGCUUUGUGCGUAAGAGCAAAAAAUAUGCACUGAAAAUUACCUCCUUUUCAGGUGAGACAUGUAGUAGGGGCACAUGCAAACCAUGCCAUGCAUUGCUUGUUUUUACCGAGACUGCAUCAACUGGGAAAAUAUUUCAGAACAUCUGAUACAAUCAGAGAGCUCCCAUCAGGCUUUCAGACAAGGAUGGAUGUCAUCAAGCCAAGCCAUGGGAUCAACACCAGUGGUUAAAUUGACAGCAUAAAAUGGAAAAAAAGACAAAGAAGGAGGAGUGGAACACCCAUAAUAAAAACAUUAUGGCAAAUAGAUAAUAAAGAAAUUUGAUCAUAGCUAACAAUGAACAGGAACCAGCAUCUGCACUGAAGCAGAAAAAGCAGUGAGUGAACACAACAAGACCAGUGACUGUGACUGCAGACUUGCUGAACUCAUUGAAAGCCAUGACAAGAAAGGUAUAGGCACCUUAUGCAAGAUUUAUGAUGCUGUCUGCAGGAGAAGGUUUGAAGCAAACACUGCCAAAGGAAGCAAGCAAGAAUUAAAAUGAUAUUACUUAAAAUGUGUGUAAACAAAGUACAUUGGCAAAUAAAGAAGCCAUGGGAAUACCAUAGGAAGUAUCCUAGACAUAGGGUUAGAAAACACUGUAUCAGCACUCUGCCCUACACCAGGAAUCAUGAGGAAAGGACAUUGACAAACAACUGCAUGCAUAGUCAAGUAAAUCAAUUUUUCUACUUGUGUACAUCACAGAAAGCUGCAGCAAAGAGGUUCUUGUGUAUUUUUCACCCUGCUGUGCUGUCUGCAUUUUAGCUGGGAAACCACAAUUCAGAACAGAAAGGUAGAAUAAAAAUGUGAAGCACUGGUGCCAAAGUAACAAAUUGGAAGGCCUGAGAAAUAGUGAUCAGCAAAAUACAUGUGCUGGAGCAGACAGACAUCUGACCCAAUUUUUAAACCCACAGUUUUCCCAAAGCUUACUUAUGUAUUAGCCAGAGAGAAGACAUAAGGUGAAAUAUGUGUUAUUUUUUUCUUUUAAUAUAUGCUCUUCUCAAAAACUGAAAGUUCUGUGCUGUAAUUGGCACUACUCAAAGUGUAUUUCCUUUUUGAAGUCAGUGACAAGUUGAAAUAUCAGUCUUCUCCAUGACCUAUAGUCACUCUCUGAAACAACAAGCUAUGCGAGUUAUUUUCAAGGCCGGUUGUUACUUUUGGCUGUUGCAGAAAUUUUUCACCCCUGUUUUUUCAAAUUGAACUGGACACUUUCAACUGACAUGACAAACUUUAGGCAGGGUGUCUUGAAUCCCUACCUCCUCCAGCCUUCAUGCUGUCUGAAGAAUUACCAUGGCCAGAAAAGGCUGGUUUCCUUUCGCAAGCUGCAGGCACGACAAGCCAGCAGUGAUUGCAAGGAACAGGAACAAACUCCUGCUCGCAGGCUAGUUCCUGAUGAACAGCAGAAAAGGACUGUCUGCAAAGGCGUCUUAUUACACUAGAGUAAAAAAAAGCUGUGCUAAUAACACAAAUAAAUUUGUACUGUACCCACAAAGGAAAUAAAAAGUUUUUUGCCCAUGUCUUGACAUUUACCAUUUUGGUAAAUGCCUUGCACCCAAACAUCACUGCUCUUCUGUCCUCUUACGUUCCCUUUUAGCUGUUUUCUGUGACAUGUUGGUGGUACCCCCCUGCUCUGUUUUGGAAUGACAACUUGUUUUAGUGGGGUGUGACCAGCCGGUCAUCUGGCAAGCACUCGCAAAGACUCUAAUCCAAAAAGCCAAUCUCUUCCUAGCUCCAAAUCUGCAAGGCUUUAAUGAGGUCUUGUGGAGAAGCAGCAGUUAUCAGAGAUUCAUUAAAGAUGAGGACAUCCUUGCAUAGCUACUAAUUGCUUUAACUCACUAGCUCGUGUUGUUUGUGAAAACUGGAGCCUGCCAAGCAAUGCUCUCAAUUUAAAUUGUUGCACUGCUUUGUGCCUGCUUUGAAACUUUCCCACUCUGCCCAUGAAUCAAAGCACAUAAUGGAUUUAUUUUCUUUUUUAUCACAACAGAAGAGACUUAUUCUGCUGGGGUCUGUGCACACCUUUGUCUAGAUAAAUAUUCAACUACUGAAAGCCAUGCUAUUGUAA